GACAGGGGGCCCGAGCGUUAGUCGGAAUCACUGGGCUUAAAGGGUGCGUAGGCGGACUUAUAAGUGUCGUGUGAAAGCCCACUGCUCAACGGUGGAACUGCACGGCAAACUGCAAGUCUCGAGGAAGCUAGAGGUCGCUAGAACGAUUGGUGGAGCGGUGGAAUGCGUAGAUAUCAAUCGGAAUGCCAAAGGUGAAGACAGGCGACUGGGGCUUUCCUGACGCUGAGGCACGAAAGCGUGGGGAGCAAACAGG
rnacentral:rRNA from 1 species